CCUACGGGAGGCUGCAGUGAGGAAUAUUGGUCAAUGGACGCAAGUCUGAACCAGCCAUGCCGCGUGCAGGAAGACGGCUCUAUGAGUUGUAAACUGCUUUUGUACGAGGAUAAACGCAGGUACGCGUAUCUGUCUGAAAGUAUCGUACGAAUAAGCAUCGGCUAACUCCGUGCCAGCAGCCGCGGUAAUACGGAGGAUUCGAGCGUUAUCCGGAUUUAUUGGGUUUAAAGGGUGCGUAGGCGGUCGGAUAAGUUAGAGGUGAAAUCCCGGGGCUCAACUUCGGAAUUGCAUGUGAUACUGUUAGGCUAGAGAGUAGUUGCGGUAGGCGGAAUGCAUGGUGUAGCGGUGAAAUGCUUAGAGAUCACACAGAACUCCGAUUGCGAAGGCAGCUUACCAAGCUACUUCUGACGUUGAGGCACGAAAGCGUGGGGAGCAAACAGGAUUAGAUACCCGAGUAGUC
rnacentral:rRNA from 1 species